GAAAGCUGAUGUUGCGUGUGAAGAUUACAGACAAGCUUUAUCCAAGGAAAUCCAGCUCUUGAAGUUGGGAAAGUGGUGCCUCUUCGAUUUUCGAACAAGCAAUCCUGUCGGGGAUCUGGCUCUCGAGAUUCGGAGAACAAUGCCUCUUCGAUUUUUGAGAAAGCAAUCCUGCUGGGGGUCUGGCUCUCGAGAUUCGGAGAGCGGUGUCUCUUCGAUUUUUGAGAAAGUAAUCAUGUUGGGAGUCUGGCUCUCGAGAUUCGGAGGGCGGUGCCUCUUCGAUUUUGGAGCAAGCAAUCUUGUUGGGAGUGUUUUCUCGAAUGUGAGUAAAGGUUGGACGUGUUUGCUAGUCUACCUUGCCACGAAGCACAUAGGUUGACACACAGGGACUUUCCAAUUAUCCAGCAGUGGUAUUGUUCCUUUACCCUCUCUUCGAUUUUUGAGAAAGUAAUCAUGUUGGGAGUCUGGCUUUCGAGAUUCGGAGGGCGGUGCCUCUUCGAUUUUGGAGCAAGCAAUCUUGUUGGGAGUGUUUUCUCGAAUGUGAG
rnacentral:lncRNA from 1 species